rnacentral:rRNA from 1 species
GACGGAGGGUGCUAGCGUUGUUCGGAAUUACUGGGCGUAAAGGGCGCGUAGGCGGCCAUGUAAGUCGGGUGUGAACGCCCGGGGCUCAACCCCGGAACGGCACCCGAGACUGUGUGGCUCGAGACCGGAAGAGGUGAGUGGAAUACCCAGUGUAGAGGUGAAAUUCGUAGAUAUUGGGUGGAACACCGGUGGCGAAAGCGGCUCACUGGCCCGGUUCUGACGCUGAGGCGCGAAAGCGUGGGGAGCAAACAGG